CGUGCAAAGGCGUGAUCUGCAUAUACAUGCACACAUAUCACACACUGCAAACACACCACAGGACACUUCAUUCAGAACACACACCAAACACGUAUGCACACCACAGAACACGUCACUCAGAUCAUACAUAAUACAAAAACACACCCAGAAGUUAUCAUUCAGAACACAUACAUGUACACACCACAGAAACACAAAUCAAGCAUGUGCAUACACUACAGACAACACAUACAUGCACACCUCACAGAACACAUCACAUACAUGUGCACACCCCGCAGAAACAUAUGCUCAGAACCCACACACAGGCACACAGAUACUUGUAUAUGUACACACUUCAGGGUCUCAGAACUGGAGUGCAGGGGAGGGAAUGAAGGGUGUGGGGGAGCUACCCCAGGAUCUCAGAAAUGAUUUGGAAACACUAUUCAACACAGAACCAGGACAGCAGGGUCGGGGGUGUGUAAUUUGGAAAUACUAUUCAACAAAGAACCAGGACAGCAGGUGUGUGUGUGUGUGUGUGUCCCUCAGGACAGGGCCUCUUGGCAAUGUCUCCUCCGGCAUCCCCAGUGGGCUCUGGAAGCUAGGGUGGAGUGGUCCAGGGAAGAACACUUGUAACUUCAUGAUGGCUCCCUGAGCCCUGUGGUUAACUCUGGGGCUCUCAGAGAGACCUGUAAAAUGCACUUUGAGGAAAGAGAGCUGAUCAGAUGCAGUCUAAAUCCAAAUUAGAUGAUGACAUCCCCUGGCACUGGGUGACUCUCUCCCACUCUUCUGACAGCUCCAGCUUCUCACCUACUCCUUCACAUCCCUGUCACUCUCCACCCACAGGACCUCUGCUCUUGGUGGCUUGGAGGGGUCUCUGCCAUCUUGAGCCCUGGCUGGGUUAUUUCAAACAAAUCUGUCCUCACUCAUGGAAGUGACUGGUGCUAACGCAGCACUCAAGAAUGCUGGUGCUCUUAGAAACUGUCCAGGAAGGUUUUAUUGUUGUUGAUUUAUUUUUGUUGCCAUGGAUAUUUCUGGGACUUGGGGUUUGGUGCCUGCAUGAGGAAUCCACUACUCCUGGCAGCUUUUCCCUCUUUCUUUUUUUUUUUUUUCUUGGAUAUAGAGAGAAAUUGGGCAGGGAGAGCAGAAGAAACAGACGCCUGUAGCACUCAGUGCCUGCAUGAGGAAUACAGAGCUCCUGGCAACUUUUUUUUUUUUCUUGUGGUUGAAUGGUGGCUCACCUGGUUGAAUGCACAUAGUACUUUUCUUUCCUUUUUUUUUUUUUUUUUUUUGGAUAGAGAAAAUGGAGGGGAAGCAGAAGAUAGACCCACAGCACUGCUCCACUGCUUGUGAAGCUUCCCCUGUACAUGUGGGGACCAGGGACUUAAACCUGCAUCCUUGCACAGAUGUGUGCUCUCUAUUGGGUGUACCACUGCCCGGCCUGUCACUUAGUUGCCUUGUCUGCUGGCUUGAGGCACUCACCAGCCAUGGCCUGUGGCUCAGGAACCUGCUGAACUAGGAGAUGCCUCUGCCUGCCUGCUACCUCUGAAGGCUGGGGCCCCAAGAUGGAGAGGAGCACUGACCUGGGCCCAUGGCUGUGCCAGAAGCCCUCUCAGGGAACUCUGGGGCUGUGCUCACCAGCCUGUUGUGGGGUGGGUAGUGCCAGCUCCCAGCAGCUAAGACACCUGUCCUGCCAGUCAAGCUGCCCAUAUGCCAGGGUUGGGGCCCUGGUUUUAUUUCUGGGCAGGCCUUGUGCUAGGGGCUGAGCUCCCCCCCUUCUUUUAAUAUUUAUUUAUUCUUUUUUGUUGCCCUUAUUUUAUUGUUGUAGUUAUUGAUAUUGUCAUUGUUGGAUAGGACAGAGAAAUGGAGAGAGGAGGGGAAGACAGAGAGGGGGAGAGAAAGAUAGAAAUCUGCAGACCUGCUUCACCACUUGUGAAGCAACUCCCCUGCAGGUGGGGAGCCGAGGGCUUGAAAUGGGAUCCUUACACAGGUCCUUGUGCUUUGCACCACCUGCACUUAUGCCACUGUGCUACUGCCCAACUCCACUCCGUUUUGUUUUGUUUUGAACCAGAGCACUGAUCAGCUCUGGCUUAUGGUGGUGUGAGGGGAUUGAACCUGGGACUUUGGAGCCUCAGGCAUGACAGUCUGUUUGCACAACCAUUAUGCUAUCUACCCCCACCCUUUUUUUUUUUUUUUUAUUGCCAACAGGGUUAUUGCUGAGACUUGGUGCCUGCAUGAUGAAUCCACUACUCCUGGCAGCCAUUUUUUCUUUUUCUUUUUUUUUUUAAUGUGAGUACUUAACCAGGUGCACCACUGUCUGGCUAGGGCUCAGUGCCUGCACCACAAAUCCACUGCUCCUGGAGGCUUUUUUUAUUUUUAUUUUUUUAUUAUUUAUUUUCCCUUUUGUUGCCCUUGUUUUUUUGGUGUUGUAGUUAUUAUUGUUGUUGCUGAUGUCAUCAUUGUUGGAUAGGACAGAAAUGGAGAGAGGAGGGAAAGACAGAGAGGGGGAGAGACAGACAAGACACCUGCAGACCUGCUUCACCGCUUGUGAAGUGACUCCCCUGCAGGUGGGGAGCCAGGGACUCGAACCAGGAUCUUUCCACAGCUCCUUGCACUUCGUGCCACCUGAGUUUAACCUGCUAUGCUACCAACCGACCCCCAAGGCUUUUUUUUUUUCCCUUUUGUUGCCCUUGUUUUUAUCAUUGUUGUUAUUGCUGUCAUUGUUGGAUAGGACAGACAGCAAUGGAGAGAGGAGGGGAAGAUAGGGGACGAGAAAGACAGAUACCUGCAGACCUGCUUCACCACCUGUGAAGCAACUCCCCGGCAGGUGGGGAGCUGGGGGCUCGAACCGGGAUCCUUAUGCCAGUCCUUGUGCUUCAUGCCAUCUGCACUUAACCCGCUGUGCUACCCCACCCCCAUUUUUUUUUACUUGAUAGGGCAAAGAGAAAUUGGAGAGGGAGAUAGGGAAAGAGACACCUUACAGACUUGCUUCACCACCUGCAAGUUUCCCCCCUGCAUUUGGGGACUUGAAUCCUGAUUCUUGUGAAUGGUAACAUGUGUAAAGUGCCACCAUAUGACCCCCACUUUCUUGUAUUUUUUAUUUUUAUUUUAAUUGUGGGUAGAGACAGAAAUUGAGAGGGAAGAGGGAGGUAGGGGGGGAAGAGAAAGAGUACUGUUUCACCAUUUGUGAAGCUUUCCCCCUGCUGCAGGUGGGGAGUAGGGGCUUGAACCCUGGUCCUUGUGCACUGUAAUAUACUCAGCCAAGUACUACACUGCCUGGAAACUCCACCUUUAUUCUGAGAACAUGAGUGUCACCAGCCCUACUCUUGGGGCUCCCAGAUGCAGUAAAGACCUCUCAUUCCCCACAUCAGCUAUGCUUUACCUUUAAAACAGUAUCUAUUUACUGAAGAAUUCAGAGAGCACAUGUGCUACUGGGGGUUGAACUCAGAACCUCAUGCUUGAGAAUCCAAAGUUUUGUCCACUGCACCAUCUCUCAUGCUGCUAGUGGACUCUGUUAUAGUGGUGGGUAGAAGGGCUGGUCCUGGCUCCUCAACCAUUCUACCAGCAGUGGUCAGCUCAGGAUAAAUUUUU